GUCCUGGGGAGAGUCCAUGUUGGCUGGUCCUGGGGCGGGGCCAGGAUAGGGCGAUCCUGGAAGCGGGGCUUCGGAAGCGUCCAGGAAAGAAUGUCCUGGAGGAAAACAGAGACUCCCUGUGACCCGGAGCUUCACAAGCUUAGCCCCUUCCAGGAGCCAUGGAGGAGCUGGGGCAUUGGGAAAGCCUUGGGGGAUACUAGGAAGGAACGUGGCUGAGUUGCUGUCAGUGUUUAGAGAAUUGAAGGAGCUGAUGACUGUGGAACCUGCUGGACAUUUUCUGAAGCCAGGAUCCUCUGUACUUUAUUCUUCCAUACCAGCCUCAGAAGCCACGUGUUGAAGACGGCGAAGUCCUGUCCUGGAAGAAGCAUUGAUCCCUAAAUGACUGCAUGGAGCAGAGCAGAGGUCCCCUGCCCCUCCCCCAUGCAUACCACCCGUGACAUCAGCAAUCAACAAUCUUGA